CAAAGAUGAAGAUGAUGAUCAAUCUUUUGCUGAGGAGGAUUCUUACUUCUCUGGUGAGCAGUAUUUUCAGUCAAAAAAAGUUGAACCAAUUACAGCUUCGGACGAUCCUAUAGGAUUGUCAGUGGCUGAAAUGUACAGGAGGACUGAUGAGAAUGAUUUGAUAGCUCAAUAUGAUGGACAGUUAAUGGAUGAAGAAGAGCUAAAUUUAAUGCGUGCAGAACCUGUCUGGCAGGGAUUUGUCAAUCAGACGAAUGAGCUUAUCAUGCUUG
rnacentral:misc_RNA from 1 species